rnacentral:lncRNA from 10 species
UGAGUUUUCUUCAUCUAACAUAAUUGCUUUCUCAAGCACUUUCUGUUUUUAAGCCAUGAUUAGGAUGUUCUAUUGAAAUAGAAAUACACUGUUGCAAAAUGUGCUUUCGCAAAAGGAGCUAAGAAAUCAGCAGAACUAGGAUUUGACCCCCAGAAAUCUGACUUCAGAGCUACCUGCAUAAUUACUACACUCCUGGUUUCCCCAUACCAUAAUAAAGCCAUGUUUUCAUAGCCAAUUGAUAGUACAAUUAAACAAAAACAGAUCUUCCAUCUCAAGAACUCUCAGUUUAAUAGGUUUCACAUAUUUUAAGGUUAGCUUUUGGAGCUAGUUUCAAUUUCAAAAAGUAGUGAAACAGGGAAAAUACUGUAGUCUCUAAUUUUUCCUUCUCUCUCCAACACCCACGCACAACACUCAUAACACACCCCAUUCCCUCUACACACUUACACCAUUUUUUCAAGCUGUACCUAAUUUAUUAUCACUCUAAGGCCAGCUCUUCAUAUGUUCUUCUGCCAUGCAAAUGGGAAGAUAAAAAUGCCUUUAGUACCUGAAAUUUCCUUUUUCCAGGACCAUCUACGAAGUAGAGGGAGCAAGUAAGUAGGUGAGACAGUUUAGUGACUAAGAUUAUAAGCUCCAUAGUUUGAGUGCUCUAAUUCGUGGCCUCUGAUUGCUACUUGUGAAACAUCACACAAGUUUUUAUUAAUAUCGUCUGUCGAAUGGACAAUAAAACUAUUUCCAAUUGUUAUGAGGAUCUAAUUACAUAAUCUCUAUAAAGCUCUUAAUGUUUUGUGUGG